rnacentral:lncRNA from 1 species
AGGAAAAAAAAAAGACAUGUAGAAAACAAAACAGGGAGAGGACAUGGAGGAAAAGUAGAAGGAUUUGGGCUGACACCUUCUUUGGAUCUUCGGAUCAAAAUAUUUGAAAGGCAAGUUUCCCGAUCAUUCUCCUGUGUAAUUGUUCUAAUUUUUCUUAUUGCAAGUAUUAUGAUCUUCCUCGUGCAAGUGUUCUUAUCUUUCCUAUUGCAUUUCCUUUUGUAAGUGUUCCGAUCCUUCCUAUUGCAAGCUUUCUAAUCUUUCCUAUUGCAAGUGUCUUGAUCUUUCCUAACUAUAAUUUUAUCUCUACAUUUGCUUUGAAUAUGAGGAACUUUGAAUUGUUCUAGCCUUGCAUUUGAUAUAUCUCCUAUUUAGACAUAACGAUUCGAAUCUGUGCAACGUAUGAGAUUCUGACCUUUAGAUACUGAACUGCCUAUAAAUCCUGUUGAAAACUUUGAUUUAUUCAAAUCUUAUUACAUUUGAAACUAGACUCGUAGAUCUUUUUUUUUAUACCUGGAUUAAAAGAUUUAUAGUCCAAAUGUCUGCUCAGUUAUCUAUUAAAUCCGACCCUUUGGAUUAUGCAAAACAAUGAUUUUGUUUUCUGACCUUUGGUUACUAAAUCAAUUGUAACUCUUUGUUGGAAACUUCAAUUCAGACGAGACUUGUUUUAUCUGAAAAUAGAUUGAAAUAUCUUUCCACAAUAUAUUUCUGAGUAAAUUGGAGCACGAUUGAUAGUUUGAAUCAUUUGUUCAAUGUGCUUCUUGAAUUCUGCCAGAAAUCGAGGUUUGGUCGAUUUCGCAUAUUCUGGUUUCAUUCCGGUGGAAAUUGAUAUCCUUUGGCUUUUUUAAUUCAAUUGAGCUUUAUAUUACUGUUUUGAAUUCUUGUAUGCUCUUGUCCUACAUGUAUUUAGAUACCUAAAUCUGUUAUGUAAACUUCUUGUUUGUAUCGUAAUAUUUCAUAUAGACACAUGCAUUCCGUUGUUCUGCAUGUGUUUCCGAUAUGUCCCAAUUUAUUUUUCAUAAUACCCUUUUGUACUCUGGUGUUUGUGGGAUUAUUUGGACCUUUGCCAGAAAUGGUAAAGAGUAUGUGCUUAGAGCCUGCGAUGUUCUAGAUUAUGUUUGGUGGUCAUUCAGAAAUGGAUGGACCAUAUUAUGUUUGGAAUCCCACUUCACCAUCUAUCUGUUUGAUAUGAAAUUCAGAGCCGACCUAGCACUUGCGCAAGGUGAGAGGGCUCGAGUAGGAAAGGGCUACCCGUGGAUGGAGUCGAGAACUCAUCAUGGCGUGGAGCCACCACUGAGUUAAACCUCACAUGCACUAUGAUAGGGUACGACGUCUGAGCUUCUGUUUCGUAUUUUGUAUUGAUAUGCUCCAAAAUGUUUCCUAUGCCAUUGAUAUACUUCAAAAUGCUUCACAUACCAUUGAUAUGUUCCGAAAUAUUUCAUUUGUCAUUGAUAUGCUCCGGAACAUCUCGUACGCUAUUGAUAUGCUCCAAUUACUCUAUGCUCCAUUUGUUCUGAACCAAAUAUAUUAUGAAUGAAAUGACAUUUGCGAUUCUAUAUCUAAUGAGAUGAUAUCCUUGAAUCUCUUGGAUUCUGUCUUGCAUUGUGAUAUCUUGUUUGUUUGAAACUGUCCCUUCUCUUGCUAUAUAUGCUUUGUUACUUGCUGAGCUGUUUUUAGCUCACUCCGUUGUUAUAUAAAUCUUUCAGGUCAGCUUGUCACUCUUUGAGAUGUUUGAAUUGGGCUGAGGCAGUGGAGAGCUAUUCUGAAUUAUGGGCAAGUCUUGUUGGUUAUUAUGUUAUUGUUGUAUAAGCAUAUUUUGUAUGUAAUGAAAUUUUGUCGAUGAA